rnacentral:rRNA from 1 species
UACGGGGGGGGCAAGCGUUGUUCGGAAUUACUGGGCGUAAAGGGCUCGUAGGCGGCCAACUAAGUCAGACGUGAAAUCCCUCGGCUUAACCGGGGAACUGCGUCUGAUACUGGAUGGCUUGAGUUUGGGAGAGGGAUGCGGAAUUCCAGGUGUAGCGGUGAAAUGCGUAGAUAUCUGGAGGAACACCGGUGGCGAAGGCGGCAUCCUGGACCAACACUGAUACUGAGGAGCGAAAGCCAGGGGAGCAAACGGG